GUAACCUCUACAAGGCUGCCCUGGAGACAUGGACAACCCCGGGAAACUGGCAUUAAGCGGUGAUAGGUCAUCUCAUCUGGAAGGAGAGAUGGCUUAAAGGGAUGCGCGGGCUUCUUCUGCGUAUUUGCUCCAGGAUGGGACUGCGUCCGAUCAGGCUGUUGGCGGGGUAAUGGCCCACCAAGCCAGUAACCGGUACGGGCCUUGAGAGAGGUGGCCCGGAGAUGGACACUGAGAGAAGGGUCCAGGUCCUACGGGGCGCAGCAGGCGCGAAACCUUCGCAAUGCGCGCAAGCGUGACGAGGUUAAUCCGAGUGAUUUCCGCUGAGGAGACCUUUUGUCUGCUGUAAAUAGGCAGGCGAAUAAGGGGAGGGCAAGCCUGGUGUCAGCCGCCGCGGUAAUACCAGCUCCUCGAGUGGUCGGGGCGAUUAUUGGGCCUAAAGCAUCCGUAGCCGGUUCCGUAGGUCCUCUGUUAAAUCCAACCGCCCAACGGUUGACCUGCAGAGGAUACCGCGAGACU
rnacentral:rRNA from 1 species